GGGAACUACGAGCAAAAGCUUAAAACCCAAAGGACUUGGCGGUGCUUUAGUCCCACCUAGAGGAGCCUGUUCUAGAACCGAUAACCCCCGUUAAACCUCACCUUUUCUUGUUAAUCCCCGCCUAUAUACCGCCGUCGUCAGCUUACCCUGUAAAGCUAUUUAGUAAACAAAAUUGGCUCAGCCCAAAACGUCAGGUCGAGGUGUAGCGAAUGAAAAGGAAAGAAAUGGGCUACAUUUCCUAGCUUAGGAAACAACGAAAUACGCAAUGAAACAGAGUAUGAAGGAGGAUUUAGCAGUAAAUAGAAAAUAGAGUGUUCUGUUGAAACUGGCCCUGAAGCGCGCACACACCGCCCGUCACUCUCCCCAAGCCUAUUAUUAACAUUAAAUAAAACCCUAUCUCUGGUAAAGGGGAGGCAAGUCGUAACAUGGUAAGUGUACCGGAAGGUGCACUUGGAAAAAC
rnacentral:rRNA from 1 species